ACACAACAUCUCAUGUGUGUAUUCACAUGACAUUGGCACCAGAAUUAGGAAACAGAACCUCAUGAUUCUUUCCGCUGAGAAUUAUUCGUAGUUUUUAAAAAAAAUGUUGGCUCGGUAAUAUUUUUCUCCAGAACUUGAAUUGAGGAUUAACGCAGAUUCCUCACUUUCACAACAUGGUCUGAACUAUGAAGCUAUCAUUUGUACUGCUUAUACUUCCGGUAUGUUGUUGAUUUUCUGCUUCCAGGUACAACUUACUAAAUUUGGUU
rnacentral:lncRNA from 1 species